rnacentral:lncRNA from 1 species
GCCAGAAGGUCUGACAAAGCCUCUUCUCCCUCUGCCUUGUUCAUUUAUUUCCAUGAAAAGUCGCCAAAGACGUUUAAAAUUAGGAUUGUUCUGGAAAAUUCAGGCUAGAUGGACACCAGAUGUAUAUAGGGAAUCAGGGCACACCCCUAGGAAACACUCAAUAGAUGUCUGUUCAACGAAGGAAUGAAAACUCUGGACUGAUAUUUAGAAAAUUAAGCCAAAACAACCCUGAAAUUUAACAUGCCUGCCUUCAGAGGUUCUACAGGUUUUCGAUUUAUCUUUUUUUUUUUUUUUUUUAAUACACAGCAAAGGGAAGGACAGCCAAGCAUUUCUUGGCUGAAUUUUUCUAUUUUGCUUUCAGUUUCUGCCGUUUCAGUUCCUGUUAUCUCGCGUCACGGGCCACCCAAGUGCAGCAGAGCCCGGGGGUAUCUGAGGCCGCUGGAAACAUCCAGCAGCAGCAGGAGGGACUAAUAAUGGGAGGUGCACACAGCGCGCACGCAGGAAACGCCAGGACAGGGACACAGACAGAACCCCGGUACGAAGCACUUUUUGGAAAGGCUUUACUGCAAAAGGACGAGAGAAGAUGGUCUCCGUUCCAGACUCCUUCAUCCUCCCUGCUACUGUUCAACUUUCCUUCCAUUUGGUUCCUGCAGGAGUCUCAGUUUGCAGAUUCUGGGUUUUGUAAUUCCCUGGGAGACCCAGGGGUGGGGAGGGUGGCCCUACUCAAUGCCAUUGAAAGAUUGUUGUGCUUCAGUCAGUAGGGUUCAACUGAAAACAAAAAAAGUUCUCUGUGUAGGCACUGAAUUUUAAAUCACUACCCUAAAAAGACUGAGGGGGGAAGGGGGGAAAGAAUCCCAAGUUAGAAAAAAGAUUUCACAUUUCCCUGCCAGAAACACUGUUCUUAUUUUCGGUUGAAUGGCUUGGCUAUUAAUUAAGUUUUCAUGUUCAGCAGCUAUCUCGUUUUCUACAUUCUUGCUGUUAAUUGUCAUAUAUGUGACACAUGACUUCUGUUUAAAUGCUAAAGUUUAUUAGAGUGGAAAAAAAAAGUUAUUCAGGGAAGGAAAAGAGAUUAGGAACCAAGUCCAACCAUUUGCUUAUUCAUCUGCAUAUGGUUAAAAGAUUUAAAAGAAUCCAUUGGUUUCUGUUUCACUGCUAUACGCAGGCCAAGGAGCAAGGAGAAAAAAAGUCUCUUCCUAUCCACGUUGUAGAAAUACAUUUUCUUCCUUUUGCCUUGGGGGCAAGAAAUCGUUUCCUCUCCUAAUAUUAAGCCAAAGUAACCAAACUGUGGAAGGCCUGGCUCCUUCUGAGAGGUUAUUGUUCCAAUUACCUCUUGCUUUGUAACAAAUCCUCCAAAACUUAGUGGCAGAAAACGGCAACCAUUUCAUCUUUGUUCAUGGACUCUGUGGGUCAGAAAUUCACCGGGCGCAGAGGGGCCUCUUCUCCGGUCCAGUGUCUGAGCCUCAGCGGGGAGGGCUAGAGAGGCACGGAGCGACGGACAUGGGGUCCUGGGAUCAUGCGGAGGCUUUUCUCCUCACACGUCUAGCACUAUGGAUUGAGACGACUCCGAGUUUGUCCUCGGAGGCAGCUGGGAGCCAGAACAUUCACAUACGGUCUCUGUGUGUGGCUUGGGCUUCUCAGAGCAUGAUGCCCGGGUACUGAGGGGACAUCCCAAGGUCAAGCAUCUAGAGGGCAAGCAUUUCAAGAGCAAGUCAGAGUAUCACUUCCUACUCUUGCUGCUUUCUAGUGGUCCAACAAGUCACUGAGGCCAGUUUAGGGAGAGCCACAGGACUCUACCUCUUGACAGGGAAGUCAAGGUCAUUUUUCAGAAGAGCAUGUGGAUGGCGGACUUUGACAAUACAAUUACUCAGUCAUCUUGGCUGGUUGUGAGACUGUAUAAUGGGGCGUCUUUAGUGAGGAGUUUGGAAGGAGUUAUUUCAUGCUGAGACCAUCUUCUUCCUCUGGGCCCCCUCACUAUGCUAUUUCAUCCAGUCCUUACUCAGCUUUUCUCCAAAGCCAUGCUUUGUCUCCAGCAUCUUCAGUCUGUUUAGUCUCUGGCCAUGGGCAGAGCUGGAAUCACAAUAAACAAAAACACUCCCUGUAGCAGCUUCCUGGCUGCUGUGCUAAUUUUU